CAUCUAAAGUCGUAUUUCUUGUACUUAUCCCUUCUUUUAACAUUCCUGAUUAAAUAUAUUGAUUGAGAAAAAUAGAAAAGGAUUAGUCCCAUGCAAACUAUAGGUCUACCAGAAUCUGAUGGCAAAAAAAAGUUUAAAACUUAGCGAUUUGCAUGUGGCAACAAAAAAAAUUUCAUCUGUCAUCUGAAAUUUCGAGGAAUUGUUUUUGGUUUGGCUUCAAAUUUACUUUAAAAAGUGGUGAAAAUGUCGAAAAAACCUCUUCGAUCGCAAGCAAGAAAUAUUGUUUUCAAUGUUUAUCAAAGAAUACUUGAUCAACAAGGUGCAGAACAUACACAAUCAUCGAUAUUGAGCCCAUGUGCAAGUGUUGAGUGGGGUUUCUAAUACUACCUUAAGAUGAAUUGUUGCCGAAGGCUGAUCUAAUAAGGGCGUAUUUAGUACGCCCGGUAAAAACAGGAAAGGUGGCAAAAAAAAUAAACUUGGAUAGAUUUGAUUUCGAAUUGAAAAAAAACUAAAUAUCAGAUAGAUGAGAUUUUUAAAUCACACGGCCACGAAGUUUUGAGGCUCCCACCAUAUCAUUGUACGUUAAACCCCAUAGAAUUAAUCUGGGGACUAAUGAAACAAAAACUUGCGGGUAAAAACGUCAAUAGACCUGCAAGUGAUAUAAAACUUUUAACAGAGAAAUGAUUUAAGAAGCUUACUCUCAAGUAGGGAUCGAUGAAUGGCGAAAAUCUUGUGAACAUGUAAUAAAAAUUUAAAAUCAGUUCAUAGAACAAGAUCAGUUAAUUGAGAUGCAGGAGGAUAGGUUUAUAUUAAAUACUGCGUCUUCUCCUUCAUAUAAAGACUUUUUUAUGGAUGUGCAGAAUUUGGAACCAUUUCUUGUUCAGUUCUAAUAGCCUAUAAUUAAUUAAUAAACUCAUGAACGGAGUAAUUGGAGUUUUCAUCUAAAUUUCAAACCCCACAUUCGGCACAGUAAAAUUUUCAAAUAUUAUCCUUGAUCAUUGGAUAAAUUUUUAUAUUUGCAUGUAUCACACACAAUCAGCCGAUAUAAGGGAAAUAAAGUAUCAAAACGUUUUACUCCAAUUUCCCCGGUAUUGCUAGCGUCAAUUUCUUUUUUCCCUUUUUGCCAUCAGAUCCUGGUAGACCUAUAUAUAUUUAUAUAUUGAUACAAUAUAUUCUAGAACCAAUUUCUUUUUCAUUCUCAGUCAAUAUUUUUAAUUAUUAAUUAUUAUUAUGACAGCAAGUCAAUUUGACAGACCUAGCGAACAGUCGCUGUCUGUCAAGCUGUUGGAGGCAGAUAAUGUGGCUGGCUUUUUUACAUUAAGUAUUUAAAUUUGAGAAAAUAUACCUUUAUUGAUA